UCCGGUUUAACACCGGCAGUCUCGCUAAAGUGCUCAGCUUUACCCGUUAGCAACUAGCGACAAGGGUUUCGCUCGUUAGGGGACUUAACCCGACAUCUCACGACACGAGCUGACGACAGCCAUGCAGCACCUGUGCAUGUUCCACGGCAAGCCGCGUCAUUCUGCUUUCACAGAACUAAUCCAUGCAUGUCAAACCCAGGUCAGGUUCUUCGCGUUGCUUCGAAUUAAGCCACAUGCUCCACCGCUUGUGUGAGCCCCCGUCAAUUCCUUUGAGUUUUAGCCUUGCGGCCGUACUCCCCAGGCGGCGCACUUAACACUUUUGUUUCGGCUCACUCGGCGUCAGAGCCUCGUGAACCUUGUGCGCAUCGUUUACGGCGUGGACUA
rnacentral:misc_RNA from 1 species